UUGAAGCUAGCUGCCAUAUCUAAUGAGAAUCUGGGGAGAAGAUAAGCUGUUAAGAGGUAAUCAAAUUCUAUUAGGAAGAAAAUUUUUCUUUCAGAAAUAUGAAUAUGGAAAGAAGGGUGCACAUUGAUGUUGAUCCAGAAAAAGGGAUAAAUACAGGACAUUGGUCAUUCUUUUUGGCCCACUUUCUAUAUUUGGAAAAAUCUACCAACUUACAAGUCUGCUUACUGAUAUUAAUAACAGCUUGAAAUGACAGAUAUUUACUUCCCCAGAUUCCCUGUAGGGAGGAUGCAGACACAUGGCCUAGUGUUGUCCAGUCGGAAGCAACACCCUGGAUGCCUUGAAUCAGAACCUGAUGAUGCAAAGAAACAAGAAUAGCAGGAGAUUCUCUCUCUGGCAUCACAGUUGAAUGUGAUUGAACACCUGGCGUGGCCACGGAAGGAUGUUGAUGACGGCAAAUUUAGGAGCAUGUUUCUGAAAAUAAUAUGCCAAACUUGUUGUUAUAUGAAGAAACAUUAAAGAAUAUGCAACUAAAAAAUGUAGGAAGAAAGUGCCACAGAGAUAAAAGGAAUGGCAAUCUGGGAGGGACCAGCCUUCUCUCUGCAGAUUCCAAUCCCCACGCUUGAAGGAAAACCAAGGCUUUCUCAUCUGGGCACCGAGGGGGCUUCGCAGCUGGGGAAAACAUCUGUGAGCUUGGAAGCAGCUGUAAGAAGGGAAAGGGGAUGUCAUGGGAAGAAGGGAAAGUGUGUGCUGGAAGAAUGUUGACUUCAAAGCUUUUCCUUGGUCAAUACCAGGUGUGGAAGCCACAAGUCUCCAAACAGCCAGUAGAGUGUGCACCCCCAGGGGGCAGCAGAGCACCAACCCUUGGGAAGCCGGUGGCCCAGUUACUCCAUCAUGGCCAGAGUGGAGCUGUAGUUCAACAGGGUAUUUAGUGGCAGGAAGAAGAGAAAACUGAACAGGAGAAUAAAGAUUCAAACCAAACUGGGGCCUGGGUAGGCCAAUGACAAAAGGGUGGGGAGAAGAGCCAAAGGGGGAUGGGAAAGAAGGGAUGGAGCAAACUAGGGCUAAAAGUAAGUUAGCUUCAGUCUCAAGAGAGAAAAUGGGAGUCAGGGUCCACAAAGCAAGGAUUGGAAUUCCCGGGCAGACCCAGCAAAGCGCAGGACCUGUGUAGCUUGAACAGAAUCAAGGAUGGACCAGCCAGGCCACCACCCCAGAUGCAGUCUGCAAAGAGAAUCCAAAUGCCCCUGGCGAUGUAGGAAGCUAGAGAGUGUGUGCCAGAACACCCCUCCGGAAGACGGCUGGCUGGGUCGGAUGGGUGCCCACAUUUGGGGCCAGCACUAAACAGCUGGGGACAACAGAGAAGGGACACGACCUGCCACCAACAGUCCCUGCUCCCCCCUUUCCCUCAAAGCUCUCAGCCUUGCCUAUAAAUAAUUGAGCCAA